GCUCUACCAAAUUGCCAUGGUAACGUUCUAACUCACUGAAUGAGUGCCGACCAAAAGGAGUAUGUACUGUGUACCCCAUGGACACAGAGCAGACCACACUCUGCUCCACUAGACCACCAUGGAUAUCUACCAGCAUCCACUUGACCCCAGGGAUUAAACUCCCCGACUCGCAUUAAAGGGGCACCAUUGUCACAAGAACAACUACAGAUUAAUGUAGUUGUUCUGGUGAGUAUAGAC